rnacentral:rRNA from 1 species
AGGGCGCAAGGGGAAUGCCUUGGCAUUGGAAGCCGACGAAGGACGUAGCGAUCUACGAAAAGCCACGGGGAGGCGAAAGCAGCCCUCGAUCCGUGGAUAUCCGAAUGGGGAAACCCGGCAGAGCAAUACUCUGUCAACCUCUUGUGAAUAAAAUAGCAAGUCGUGGGGAACCGCCUGAACUGAAACAUCUAAGUAGGGCGAGGAAAAGACAUCAACCGAGAUUCCGUAAGUAGUGGCGAGCGAACGCGGAAGAGGCCAAACCAAGAGUAGUAAUACUUUUGGGGUUCGGACUGCAAUAUGUACUGGUAAGGUUAGUAGAAUGAGAUGGGAAGCUCAACCAUAGAGUGUGAGAGUCACGUACACGAAAACUGAGUCAGGCUAGCAGUAUCCAGAGUACCGCCGGACACGUGAAACCCGGUGGGAAUACGGGGGGACCACCCUCCAAGCCUAAAUACUCCCUGGUGACCGAUAGCGAAUAGUACUGUGAAGGAAAGGUGAAAAGAACCCCGGGAGGGGAGUGAAAAGAACCUGAAACCUUGUGCUUACAAGCACAUAGAGCACGUCAAUGUGUGAUAUGGUACCUUUUGUAGAAUGGUCCGGCGAGUGAAUGUAACUAGCAAGGUUAAGCACUUAAGGUGUGAAGCCGAAGCGAGAGCAAGUCUGAAUAGGGCGACAGAGUUAGUUGUAUUCGACCCGAAACCGGGUGACCUAGCCAUGAGCAGGUUGAAGUGGAGGUAAAACUCCAUGGAGGACCGAACCCACUCCCGUUGAAAUGGUAGGGGAUGACUUGUGGCUAGCGGAGAAAUUCCAAUCGAACCCGGAGAUAGCUGGUUCUCUCCGAAAUAGCUUUAGGGCUAGCCUCGAUUGAACAUUACCGGAGGUAAAGCACUGAAUGGGCUAGGGGCCGAGAGGUUACUGAACCCUAUCAAACUCUGAAUGCCGGAUAAUGAUAAUCGGGAGUCAGACUGCGUGAGAUAAGUUUCGUAGUCAAAAGGGAAACAGCCCAGACCUACAGCUAAGGUCCCAAAUUGUAUUUAAGUGGAAAAGGAUGUGGAAUUGCAUAGACAACCAGGAUGUUGGCUCAGAAGCAGCCAUACAUUCAAAGAGUGCGUAAUAGCUCACUGGUCGAGUGAUUCUGCGCCGAAAAUUUAACGGGGCUAAAAUACAAACCGAAGCUUAGGAUUUCCAACAGAGAUGUUGGGAGUGGUAGGAGAGCGUUCUGUGCGGGGUGAAGUCGUAGCGAAAGCGGCGGUGGACUGCACAGAAGUGAGAAUGCCGGAAUGAGUAGCGAGAUUUAUGUGAGAAUCAUAAAGGCCGAAAGACUAAGGAUUCAGAAGGAAGGUUCGUCCGCUUCUGGUUAGCCGGGGGCUAAGGUGAGGCCGAAAGGCGUAGCCGAUGCACAUACGGUGGAGAUUCCGUAGCCGCCGAAACAUUUAAGUAAAGGGACACUUGAGAAGUUCAUAAGCCGGGCGUUGGUAGACCCGGUCGUAAGGGUGCGAAAUUAAGUAGCUGAAGUAUGAAUGGAACAAGGCGAGAAAAGCUUUACGGAAUAUGUUAGGUGCCCGUACCGCAAACCGACACAGGUAGUCAGGAAGAGAAUUCUAAGGCCAACGGGAGAAGGGUAGUUAAGGAACUCGGCAAAUUGACCCCGUAACUUCGGAAUAAGGGGUGCUCUCUACGGAGAGCCGCAGUGAAUAGGUCCAGGCGACUGUUUAUCAAAAACACAGGUCUCUGCUAAAUCGAAAGAUGACGUAUAGGGGCUGACACCUGCCCGGUGCUGGAAGGUUAAGAGGAGGAGUGAGAGCUCCGAAUUGAAGCCCCAGUAAACGGCGGCCGUAACUAUAACGGUCCUAAGGUAGCGAAAUUCCUUGUCGGGUAAGUUCCGACCCGCACGAAUGGUGUAACGAUCUGGACACUGUCUCAAUUACCCACCCGGCGAAAUUGUAGUACCGGUGAAGAUGCCGGUUACCCGCGGCAAGACGGAAAGACCCCAUGGAGCUUUACUGUAGCCUGAUAUUGGGUUUUGGUAUUUUAUGUACAGGAUAUGCGGGAGACUAUGAAACCGAGACGCUAGUUUCGGCGGAGUCAGCCUUGGGAUACCGCUCUUAGAGUACCGGAAUUCUAACCUGCGGCCAUGAAUCUGGUCGGGGGACAUUGUUAGGUGGGCAGUUUGACUGGGGCGGUCGCCUCCAAAAGAGUAACGGAGGCGUUCAAAGGUUGGCUCAGCAUGGACGGAAACCAUGCCUUAGAGUGUAAACGCAUAAGCCAGCCUAACUGCGAGACUGACGGGUCGAGCAGUAACGAAAGUUGGAGUUAGUGAUCCGGCGGUAUGUGAGUGGAAAUGCCGUCGCUCAACGGAUAAAAGCUACCCUGGGGAUAACAGGCUGAUCU